AUGAACGUUUUCUGCCGGCUACAACAUAUGAAAAACCUAUAUGUGCCACAAAACAAAGAUUUGGUUUCUACGGAGGCUUUGCAGAAAGGAUUACCAUCUGCUGACUUUUUGGUCUACCAAAGACUGAUGCUCUUCAAGACUACAGGUGACCCUGACCAGGAUUAUCUUACUGAAGUGAGUAUUAUUGAUGCUGCUCUCAUAUAGCUUCUGUUGGGUUUGGCAUCAAAUGCUGCUUUUUGCACUGAUUUAUAGAGUUAAAAGAAAUUUUUCCCUUUUUGUUGUCACUUUGCAGUGUAAACUGCUGAGGGAGCUCAUGUUGCUUCUGUUGUAGCAGAAAUACGUUGAUUACAAUAUGUGCAAUACUAAAUUAGGCCAGGGUGUGGGCAUCCUUCUUCAGUAUUUUUCAUCCUAAACAAUCUAUGGUCCUCUGGGAGCGAGGGUUCAGUACCUUGAAGAAAUUGUCAUAGAUUCAUCCUGUAUUUGGGGCAUUUUACAGGUGCCUGUGGACUCUUACCCUUUUCUUAAACUUACCUCAGCCUAGCCCUGCUGUAGUAUUCCCACUUCUUAACUUAAUCAAAAUUAGCUUUCAGAUAUCCAACCCCUAGAUUAAUAGCUUCAAUGAAAUGGAAGCAGGUUGCAUAAGACAUUCUACAUUAAAGUGUGUAACAUGUUAUACUCUACUUGUGGAAGAGUGGAAGAUGUCAGCCUGGUUUUGGAAAUACUUUAUAGUGUUAUAGAGAUGCCAGGUUUUUCAUUGUUCUGAUAAUGUCUUCCUGAUCUGCAACUCUUAAGAAGCAAAUCAUUAGAUUUUUAAAUGUAUGUUAAGAGAUUCUUCACUGUGGUGUUGAUUCAGGUCUUAGACUUGCACAAGACCCAUGAGAGAGCUGUGGUUCUAUUGAACAGGUUUUCCAUAAUAGUUUAGGCCCUUCUUUUCACUCACCUUUCUUUUUUUUUAUUGUGGAGGAUUAAUAUUAUACAGUCUGUAACCAUACUGUAGCUACCUCUCUCCUCUACCUGUAAUCUAGAAAAUCAUUUUCUUUUGUCCAAAGAAGGCUGCUGUGCUUCCCAGUAGCCAACAUGUGUUUUCACAAACUUGUCUUUAGAGCUCCAUGAAGAACAAGUCUCCACCCAAACAUUCCUCGUGGAGUCUUUCUUUUAUGCUGUUACAAGCUAUAUGAUUAAAUUAGCCCCAGUAAACCAGCACGCCCUAACAUCUGUGGAGUAUCUCAGGUGAGGAAUUUCAAGAGACCCUCCCUUAAAGAAACACUGCUGUCAUAUCCCUGCUGCAGCUCCUGCUUUUCAUUGCAGGAAGAUGUUGCAGUGCUGGCUGAUGUCAUCACUUGAAAGCAUUAAUUUCAUUUGCAAAAUGCUGUGGUUUUUCUGAAGUGUGUGAACUUUCCUUAAUUUCCUUUCUUGAAAUGUGAAUUAAUGCUUUGUUUUCAUCUGUAUGGCCUCGGUAUGUAUCCUGCCUUUGUAGACAAGCCUUUAAAGCUAUGUGGAAAGGGUGGCAGGUUAAAAAAAAAAUAAAUCAGUUAGAGCAAUUCA
rnacentral:lncRNA from 1 species